GACGAGUCCUACAGGGAGGGGCAGCAGGUGGGAAUAUUGCACAAUGGGCGCAAGCCUGAUGCAGCCAUGCCGCGUGUAUGAAGAAGGCCUUCGGGUUGUAAAGUACUUUCAGCAGUGAGGAAGGUGGAGUCGUUAAUAGCGGCCUCAUUUGACGUUAGCUGCAGAAGAAGCACCGGCUAACUCCGUGCCAGCAGCCGCGGUAAUACGGAGGGUGCGAGCGUUAAUCGGAAUUACUGGGCGUAAAGCGCAUGCAGGUGGUUUGUUAAGUCAGAUGUGAAAGCCCGGGGCUCAACCUCGGAAUUGCAUUUGAAACUGGCAGACUAGAGUACUGUAGAGGGGGGUAGAAUUUCAGGUGUAGCGGUGAAAUGCGUAGAGAUCUGAAGGAAUACCGGUGGCGAAGGCGGCCCCCUGGACAGAUACUGACACUCAGAUGCGAAAGCGU
rnacentral:rRNA from 1 species